GAACUCGCUGUGAAGAUGCAGUGUACCCGCGGCAAGACGGAAAGACCCCGUGAACCUUUACUAUAGCUUGACACUGAACACUGGUCCUUGAUGUGUAGGAUAGGUGGGAGGCUUUGAAGUGUGGACGCCAGUUCGCAUGGAGCCAACCUUGAAAUACCACCCUUUAAUGGCUGGUGUUCUAACGUAGACCCGUAAUCCGGGUUGCGGACAGUGUCUGGUGGGUAGUUUGACUGGGGCGGUCUCCUCCCAAAGAGUAACGGAGGAGCACGAAGGUUAGCUAAUCCUGGUCGGACAUCAGGAGGUUAGUGCAAAGGCAUAAGCUAGCUUGACUGCGAGAGUGACGGCUCGGGCAGGUGCGAAAGCAGGUCUUAGUGAUCCGGUGGUUCUG
rnacentral:rRNA from 1 species